AGCUAAAUCAAUAGACGGAUCUAAGCAUGUAGAGCCUCUGGCAGAGUGCUGACGGACGCGGGUUCGACUCCCGCCACCUCCACCA
rnacentral:tRNA from 1 species